GCUGAAGUGGUGGAAUUGGUAGACACGCAUGGUUCAAGACCAUGUAACCGUUCGGCCGUGGCACUUCGAGUCUUCUCUUCGACA
rnacentral:tRNA from 1 species